rnacentral:rRNA from 1 species
GGGAAUAACAGUGAGAAAUCAUUGCUAAUAGCACAUAAGCUGAUAAUAUCGCAUGAUAUAGUCAGAAAAGGAGCAAUCCGCUAAUAGAUGGGCUCGCGUCUGAUUAGCUAGUUGGUGGGGCAACGGCCUACCAAGGCGACGAUCAGUAGCCGGACUGAGAGGUUGAACGGCCACAUUGGGACUGAGAUACGGCCCAGACUCCUACGGGAGGCAGCAGUCGGGAAUAUUGCGCAAUGGAGGAAACUCUGACGCAGUGACGCCGCGUAUGGGAAGAAGGUUUUCGGAUUGUAAACCAUUGUCGUUAGGGAAGAAGAAGUGACAGUACCUAAGGAGGAAGCUCCGGCUAACUAUGUGCCAGCAGCCGCGGUAAUACAUAGGGAGCGAGCGUUAUCCGGAUUUAUUGGGUGUAAAGGGUGCGUAGACGGGAAUACAAGUUGGUUGUGAAAUCUCUCGGCUCAACCGAGGAACUGCAACCAAAACUAUAUUUCUUGAGUGCUGGAGAGGAAAGUGGAAUUCCUAGUGUAGCGGUGAAAUGCGUAGAUAUUAGGAGGAACACCAGUGGCGAAGGCGACUUUCUGGACAGUAACUGACGUUGAGGCACGAAAGUGUGGGGAGCAAACAGGAUUAGAUACCCUGGUAGUCCACUCCGUCAACCCUAAA